UACGUAGGGUGCGAGCGUUAAUCGGAAUUACUGGGCGUAAAGCGUGCGCAGGCGGCUUUGCAAGACAUAUGUGAAAUCCCCGGGCUUAACCUGGGAACUGCAUUUGUGACUGCAUGGCUGGAGUGCGGCAGAGGGGGAUGGAAUUCCGCGUGUAGCAGUGAAAUGCGUAGAUAUGCGGAGGAACACCGAUGGCGAAGGCAGUCCCCUGGGCCUGCACUGACGCUCAUGCACGAAAGCGUGGGGAGCAAACAGG
rnacentral:rRNA from 1 species